CUGAUGCUGAUAGUGACUGAUAAAAUAAACACACGAGUACGUAGACUAAAACCGUUUAACAUAUACACGCGUUUUUUUUGGAAACUUGUCUAGUGCCAUAGUAACAUUUACUGAGUUUAAUUGCAUGUAAUGUAACAUCUACAAUGACAGACGACAGCAGCGUUUGUGUUGCAUUUAGUUGAUUAGGACGUAGCUUUAAGGUUGCACUGUGAUUAGGAAGUAGCUUUAAGGUUGCACUGUGGUGUGUGUGUGUGUGUUUGUGUGUGUUCGUACCCCGGAAGAAGCGUGAACAUGAUCGCCCGACACCUGACGUCCUUUGGGAUCAACCAUGCAGCCCUGGCUUUUGCCAUGACCACGCUGGGUUCAAGCAUGAUCAACAAUAUAUUCAGCUUCUAUUAUGUGAAGCUCUUUCUGAAUAAGUACAAGAUAUCUGAAGGAGCAUUCCACCAAUCACAGGUGGUGUACAUGGUGUGGAAUGCCGUCAACGACCCUCUCUUUGGAUACCUGCAAGAUAACUCCAAGGUUCCCUGCUGUUCCCAGAGACGCCUCUCUAUCCUAUAUGGUGCCCCCCUCUACUCCCUGGCUUUUCUUCUAGCCUGGUUUCCAUGGCGAUCAUACUCUCCUGAUGAUUGGUUGUGUGGCUUACAUUUAACAGUAGCACUGUGUGCUUUUGAUGCCUUAUUGACUUUUGUGCUGCUUGCACAGUGUGCCUUAUUUGCGGAGAUUUCCAGCCAUCAUCAGAGCCGACUGAGGCUGAUAAAGUACAAUCAGGUGGCCUCUCUCAUCGGAUCCUCCAGUGUCCUCUUCUGUGGCAUGGUGUCCCAAAACAUGGAACACUUUCCAGCUUUUCAGACCUUCACCGUGCUAAUUGCCAUUCUGAGCUGCAUCUGCAUGAUCUACACAGGCCUCCACAGUGAAACCCGCUUUGAUAAUAAAGCAUCUGAGGCGGCCCUUCCUGGGUCUAGUGACCAGGCGGUGGAUCAGACGGGGUGCUCCUUCUCCACGUUGAAGACGAUGACGUGGCAGAUCCUCACCAACAGGGACUUCCAGCUGUUUGUGCUGAUGAAUUUCUUCCAGGUUUUCAUGCUGGCCUUCUUUAAUAACUUCACCAUGAUAUUCACGGAGCACCUGAUUCCUCCAGACGUACUUCCAUCACUGGCCAAGAGCAUCAUGUAUGGAGCAGGAUUCAUCUUACCACAGCUCCUCGUGCUGAGCAGCCAGAGGCUGCUGCAGGAUUUCGGCUACUACAAAAUCAUCCUCUUCACCUUCUACCUAGAAGCUGGAAUGGCAGUAGUCAUGCUGCUUCUUGGUGCUCAGCACUACUACUUCUUGGCUUUUUUUCUCACUAUUAGCACGGUUAUAAUACAAGCAGCCUUCAGCCUCUUUGGUUUGCCACUGGCUGAUAUAAUUGACAUAGAUUUGCAGAAAUACAAACGCAGUUCUCCUCUCUCCUCCAUGGUGUUUGGAACAAAUGCUCUGUUCACCAAGCCGGCUCAGUCCCUGGCUCCGAUGAUCGUUCUCACCAUCCUGAAUCAGUUUGGAUACGAACAGCUGAAAGAAGCUGGACAGAAAUCAAGCCCAAGACAGUCUCACCAUCAAUAAUUGAAGGUGCAUGCUCAGGACCGUUUUGCUGCCAUGUGCUGUCCAUGAGAGCAGGGGGGUGUACAUUCGUGGACGGUUUCACUGCCAUGAGAGCGGCUCUUUGGAAAGCCUCCAUGGUGUCAUGUUCUACCUGGUCUGCCUGUUUCCCAUGUGCAUUGCUGCUGUACAAGUCCUGGCCUGGAGGCCGUUCUCCAUCCGCAAUAGUCACACAGUCGACACUAAAUACAUCGACAGCUAGCGUCUGCUCUCUGAUCAAUAAAUUAGAAUGUUUUCCAGUUUAGACUUUAUUAAAGAUUUUCAGAACCAAUUUCCGCUCUUUAGCUGUAAAUCAACUUGGUGCGACAGCUGAUUGGUGACAUCAGGUAGAUAAAAAUGAAACGGGGUACCUCUAUUUUCUACACAAAGAAGAGAGUGGAUCCCAGGUGAUGGUUAGUCUCCUCCUAAUGCCCAGAAAGUUGAUCUGGGUUAUUUACUACAGAGACUGUAGCUUUUCCUUAAUUCUAGGGUUGCUGUUGUGUUUGAGUUACCUGGUGUUAAUCAGAAUGGUACUGUAACCUGAAACAGGGCUAGUGCAUCAGGAAGUACUCCGCAGAGUAACUGAACUUGUUUCAAUGUUGAAGUGUAAAACCUGCUGUGGAUAUUAUUAAGAGUUUUACUUAAGUUUACAGUUCAGCAGUCCUUUAAAUCAAAGUUGAUCUAAUUCAGUGUAAAGCAACAUAUUUUCUGAUUAAAAAUGUUGGCAUCUUUU